UAAUUGAGAAAUUUGUUGGACCAGG
rnacentral:piRNA from 1 species